rnacentral:miRNA from 1 species
AAAAAUACGGGUGCACUUCUGU